rnacentral:lncRNA from 1 species
GUGGAUAGGUGCAUUUGUGGUAUUUGUGGCUAAUUUCUAUUUCUUUGGGAAUAGCUCUCUAUUGAAACUUUUCAGGAAAGACAUGGGCUAUCUUUGUUAUUUAUUUUUAUUCAGAGAGGCGGGCAUCUAGUACCCAUUGUUUUAAUUACUGGGACACUUGUCUAUCUUUUACUCCAUUUUCUUCUUUUUUUCAUGGCCA